rnacentral:rRNA from 1 species
UGGUCCGGUGAAGUGUUCGGAUCGCGGCGACGUGGGCGGUUCGCUGCCCGCGACGUUGUGAGAAGUCCACUGAACCUUAUCAUUUAGAGGAAGGAGAAGUCGUAACAAGGUUUCCGUAGGUGAACCUGCGGAAGGAUCAUUGUCGAUGCCUACCGAGCAGCGCGACUCGCGAACUCGUUUAACCGCUUCGGGGGUGGCUCGGGGUGCCCGGAGGGCGCCCCCGCCUCCCCGAGCGAGGAGGCGACGGCCCUGUGCGGUUUCCUCCUCGCCCCAAACAACAAACCCCGGCGCGAGACGCGCCAAGGAAAUCGAAAUCGUUCUGUGCGCCCCUGUCGGCCCGGAGACGGUGCCCGUGCAGGCGGCGUCGCGACACGCGAAUCUGAAUGACUCUCGGCAACGGAUAUCUCGGCUCUUGCAUCGAUGAAGAACGUAGCGAAAUGCGAUACUUGGUGUGAAUUGCAGAAUCCCGUGAACCAUCGAGUCUUUGAACGCAAGUUGCGCCCGAAGCCAUUAGGCUGAGGGCACGCCUGCCUGGGUGUCACGCAUCGUUGCCCCUAAUCCGGUGCCUUAGGCAAGGCCCCGUGUUCUGGGGCGAACGUUGGCUUCCCGCGAGCGCGGCCUCGCGGUUGGUUGAAAUAUGAGUCCGCGGCGGAGAGCGCCACGAUAGACGGUGGCUGAGUGAAGCUCGAGACCGAUCGUGCGCGUCUCUACGUCGGGCGCGGACCCUCUGACCCGUGGGCGCGUCUCUGACCGCCCGUGACGAGACCUCAGGUCAGGCGGGGCUACCCGCUGAGUUUAAGCAUAUCAAUAAGCGGAGGAAAAGAAACUAACAAGGAUUCCCCUAGUAACGGCGAGCGAACCGGGG